rnacentral:rRNA from 1 species
UCAAGAAUAUUCCGCAAUGGCCGAAAGGCUGACGGAGCGACGCCGCGUGCAGGAAGACGCCCUUCGAGGUGUAAACUGCUUUUAUGAGGGACGAAUUUGUGACGGUACCUCAGGAAUAAGAGGUUGCUAACUCUGUGCCAGCAGCAGCGGUAAUACAGAGACCUCGAGCGUUAUCCGGAUUCAUUGGGCGUAAAGCGUCCGCAAGUGGUUUGGUUAGUUAAUGGUUAAAUCCUGGUGCUUAACAUCAGGACCGCCAUUAAUACUGCCAGACUAGAGACUGGGAGAGGCAAGCGGAACACACGGUGUAGUCGUAAUAAGCGCUGAUAUCGUGUGGAACACCAAAGGCGAAGGCAGCUUGCUGGAACAUGUCUGACACUCAUGGACGAAAGCGUGGGUAGCGAAUGGGAUUAGAUACCCCAGUAGUCCACGCCCUAAACGAUGUGCACUAGGUAUUGGAAGUAUCGACCCUUCCAAGUGCCGUUUUAAAAAAAGCUAACGCGUUAAAGUGCACCGCCUGGGGAAGUACGGCCGCAAGGUUAA